rnacentral:rRNA from 1 species
CGCAGCCCGGUAAUUCCAGCUCCAAUAGCGUAUAUUAAAGUUGUUGCAGUUAAAAAGCUCGUAGUUGAAUUUCGGGAUUAAUAUGUUGGUCGUGCCUUGGUACGUACUGGCAUUAUUGAUUCCUACCUUCUGAAGAACCUCGAUGUCAUUAAUUUGGUGUCUUGGGGAAUCAGGACCGUUACUUUGAAAAAUUAGAGUGUUUAAAGCAGGCUCGCGCUUGAAUACAUUAGCAUGGAACAAUGAAAUAGGACGUUUGAUUCUAUUUUGUUGGUUUCUAGGAUCGACGUAAUGAUUAAUAGGGAUAGUUGGGGGCAUUAGUAUUCAAUUGUCAGAGGUGAAAUUCUUGGAUUUAUUGAAGACUGACUACUGCGAAAGCAUUUGCCAAGGAUGUUUUCAUUAAUCAAGAACGAAAGUUAGGGGAUCGAAGACGAUCAGAUACCGUCGUAGUCUUAACCAUAAACUAUGCCGACUAGGGAUCGGAUGAUGUUAAUUUUUUAAUGACUCAUUCGGCGCCUUACGG